UACGGAGGAGGCAAGCGUUAUCCGGAAUUAUUGGGCGUAAAGCGCGCGUAGGCGGUGACUCAAGUCGGAUGUGAAAGCCCUUGGCUUAACCGAGGAAGUGCAUCCGAAACUGAGUCGCUAGAGUACGAUAGAGGGUCGCGGAAUUCCCGGUGUAGAGGUGAAAUUCGUAGAUAUCGGGAGGAACACCGGUGGCGAAGGCGGCGACCUGGGUCGAUACUGACGCUGAGGCGCGAAAGCGUGGGGAGCAAACAGG
rnacentral:rRNA from 1 species